UACGUAGGGGGCAAGCGUUGUCCGGAAUUAUUGGGCGUAAAGCGCGCGCAGGCGGUCGAUUAAGUCUUGUGUAUAAACCAAGGGCUCAACCUUUGGACGCAUUGGAAACUGGUCGACUGGAGUGUAGGAGAGGAAGGUGGAAUUCCACGUGUAGCGGUGAAAUGCGUAGAGAUGUGGAGGAACACCAGUGGCGAAGGCGACUUUCUGGCCUAUAACUGACGCUGAGGCACGAAGGCCAGGGGAGCAAACGGG
rnacentral:rRNA from 1 species